UGCGCAGGCGGUUAUGUAAGACAGAUGUGAAAUCCCCGGGCUCAACCUGGGAACUGCAUUUGUGACUGCAUGGCUAGAGUACGGUAGGAGGGGGAUGGAAUUCCGCGUGUAGCAGUGAAAUGCGUAGAUAUGCGGAGGAACACCGAUGGCGAAGGCAAUCCCCUGGACCUGUACUGACGCUCAUGCACGAAGCGUGGGGAGCAAACA
rnacentral:rRNA from 1 species